UCAAAAUGUAAUUAUUUUAGUAUUAGAUUAGUAAUAGUUAUGUUCUUAAAAAUUAAUAAAUUUGGCGGUAUUUUAUUCUAUUCAGAGGAAUUUGUUUAAUAAUUGAUAUUACACACUAAAUCUUACUUAAUUUAUUAAAACUUGUAUAUCGUCGUCAUAUGAAUAUCUCAUAAGAGUUUAUAAAUAUUCUAAAAUUAAAAUUUUAAAUUAUGUCAGAUCAAGGUGCAGUUUAUAAUUAAGAAUAAAUGAAUUACAAUAAAUAAAUUUAAACGGAUAAGAGAUUUAAAAAUCUUUUUAAAGGUGGAUUUGAUAGUAAAGUUAUAAAUAUAAAUUAAUUGAAUAUAGUUUUAAAAUAUGC
rnacentral:rRNA from 1 species